rnacentral:lncRNA from 1 species
GAAAAUUUUAAAAAGUAACUGGUCACAAUAUGAAUUUAAGAAAAGACCUUGCGUUGAUAACUAUCACAUUUAUUGUGUUCCUUUUUCUACUCGUAGAUCUUAAAAAACAAAAGUUAUGUUGCAGUACCUCAUGAACUAAAAUUGUAACUCGAAUGUGGUAUUAAUUUUUAAAUAAAAAAUUGUAAUUAUUUACACAUUGAUAGAAAAUAAACACCAACAACCAUGUAUGCUCUUUUUGAAAACUAUGAUGUAUGCUCUGUGAACAAUGAUACCAAGGUGC